AUGGUUCAGUUUUUUCACAGCAAUGGCGGAGCAUGGAGCCCCGCAAAAGUUCCUUCCGCCCAAUGUGUGGAGCACACGAUCGGAGCAACACUUGAUCAAGGUGAUAUCAUCUUGCGCAUCUUUGGAGCACUUUGUUGUGGAGCGUCAGUGAUGCUGCAGGCCAGGAGUACUGAGUGGACCACAGUGAGACUGGAAACAUAGUAAGCAUAAUGGAAACCUGCUGGAGAGCGCCAGAGCUUCCUUCUCCAACACACCCUCUGCGUUUGGAAGCUCCACGAGGGAGGAACCAGUCUUUGUCCUUCGGUUCCCUUGGUUUUUGCAUUGUUUUUCCUGUUCUGUGUUCUCUGUUUUUAAUUUAAAAAAAUCCUAAACUUCCCAGUGGUGUGGUAUUUGAAAGUUUGCGGAAGUGCAAAUGCAUUGUUUGAAUAUGAUUAACCAGUCUUGACUAGUGGGAAAGUUUGUGUGAAUUGGAUUGUUUUUGCCUGCAACAGUAGUACAAAAACCAGCAUUAGCAGCACAGCACUGAGUAUUCUGACUUGGCUAAAGCUAAGAGCUAAAGCUAACAGCACCUUUGCUAAAGCUUUAACUAGC
rnacentral:lncRNA from 1 species